CGCCGCGGCAAGAGAUUUGACCGGCAGCGGCCGCCCCGGGAGGCGGCUGCCGAGCCGGCAAGAAAACAUGUCCUCACACUGAGCUUUCAAGGUCUCUUUUUCCAGUUCUAGGUGAUCAUAAAAAGACAACUAUUCCCAAAGAGAUGGUCAACAAUGCCCCAUUAUGGCCAGGAAAGAGCUCUGGAGGAAGGAAGGAAGGAAG